rnacentral:tRNA from 1 species
GCCCCAGUGGCUUAGCCUGGCAGAGCGGCUGACUUGUAAUCAGCAGGCCCCGAGUUCAACUCUCGGCUGGGGCU